GGAAGAAGCGAAAGUGACGGUACCUGCAGAAGAAGCGCCGGCUAACUACGUGCCAGCAGCCGCGGUAAUACGUAGGGCGCAAGCGUUAUCCGGAUUUAUUGGGCGUAAAGAGCUCGUAGGCGGUUUGUCGCGUCUGCCGUGAAAGUCCGAGGCUCAACCUCGGAUCUGCGGUGGGUACGGGCAGACUAGAGUGAUGUAGGGGAGACUGGAAUUCCUGGUGUAGCGGUGAAAUGCGCAGAUAUCAGGAGGAACACCGAUGGCGAAGGCAGGUCUCUGGGCAUUUACUGACGCUGAGGAGCGAAAGCAUGGGGAGCGAACAGGAUUAGAUACCCUGGUAGUCCAUGCCGUAAACGUUGGGCACUAGGUGUGGGGGACAUUCCACGUUUUCCGCGCCGUAGCUAACGCAUUAAGUGCCCCGCCUGGGGAGUACGGCCGCAAGGCUAAAACUCAAAGGAAUUGACGGGGGCCCGCACAAGCGGCGGAGCAUGCGGAUUAAUUCGAUGCAACGCGAAGAACCUUACCAAGGCUUGACAUGUGCCAGACCGCUUCAGAGAUGGAGUUUCCCUUCGGGGCUGGUUCACAGGUGGUGCAUGGUUGUCG
rnacentral:rRNA from 1 species